GGACUAUAAACACAGGCAGAGGUCAAGGCGAUAGUAUCAACAAAUGCCAUUAAGACUCCAAAGGAAAUCAAAAGCCUAGAAUCAAUUCAAGAUACUGAAAGCUUUCUUUUUCCUGCACCAUGGAAGCGAUGGAAUACACCUGUCUAAUCACAGACAGUUGAGAGGUCAACUGUCCAAUUACUUUUGGUCGCAUAAAAUGGAGGAACUAUGUAUAAAAAGGGUGGUGAAUAACUGGCUGCGGAACCUAUGGCCAAUGAAGGCGUACAAGAUGGGGUUAAUGGCGCAGUGCAGAAAGGCCAAGACCUGGGUCACCUUCAGAGUGAAAUCCAACUGGCUCCGGAAGGUGCACGUCUCCUCCACCCACCUGGCCCUCAGUAGCGUGUCUGUGAGGAUAGCCACAUUGUUUGGCAGCCAGCACCCAACAAAAGCCAGCACCACCCACAGGAUAACAUGCAUGGCUCUGUGCCUCUGGGCAGUGCGGCCUCGGAGGAGGGUGACGGCAGUGAAGCCGUAACAGAACAACAUGACGGCCAGCGGGACGAAAAACCCGACAAUGUGGUGCAACAAGCGUAGGCCCAAACGCCACCGCGCCAUGUCCUCCGCCUGCAGGUUCUUGUGGCACACCAGCCCGUCCUGGUUCCCUGGCUGAAAGGCCUCCCACUGCACCAGGACAGGCAGGGAGAGGAGCCCCGCCAGCACCCACACCACUCCGCAUACCACGGCCACCAGGCGACGCCUCUGGGAAAUCGCCUGGGUGGCCUUCACGAUGGCCAGGUAGCGGUCGACGCUGAUGCAGGCCAGCAGCAGGACUCCGCUGUAGAAGGUGGCCUCCUGCAGGCCAGCGAGCAGCUUGCAUAGGAAGGUCCCGAAGAUCCACUCAGAGUGGAUGAACACGGCCCAGAAUGGGAGAGUCAGAGAAAACAGCAGGUCAGCCAAAGCCAGGUGCAUGAGGUACGUGUCCGUGGAGGUCCUCCGACUCUCCAUGGACCAGGCUACGUAGAGGACUACCGUGUUUCCCAGAAGGCUGAGGAGGAACACCACACUGUAGAUGGUCACCAGUAGCCCCUUGAUGAGGACUGGUGAGUCUGGUUCGCAGGGGGCAGGAUACAUUUCAUAAUAGGUGUGGUUAUAAUCACUAAAGUCAUCUUCUUUUACCAUGGGAAUAAUCACCAUUUUGUGUAUUUCACUGUGCUGAAAAAAAAAGGGUGCAUUUAAGUUUUAUGUCUUUUUUUUGUUGUUGGAUAUGUCUAUAAACUGCUUAAGUGGUUUGAAAGAAUACCGGCUGGCUAAUGUAUCUGUAACUCCUUCAGUCAAUAAUUACAGUACAUUUUCCUUCUGGUAUCAUUUUAAAGAAACAAAAUGCAGUGUUGUGAAUUUUAAGUUUCAUUCAGUGAGGGACUGCUCACUUCAUGAGAGUGCCACACUUUAGAUACUGAGCACAACUUGGUGCAACAUCAAAGUGACUCAGUAUGAAACAUUUGCCUAACCCUUGGAUCACUUUGUCAUGCUGAUUUCCGGGGAAUUAUAAGGUACACCCAGGUUACAUAAUCAACCAGUCCUCAUUGGGAAAUCAUGUCAGGCUAAGCAGACUAAUACUUCCUAUUAAGAUCCUUCUGUUCCCUCCUAGAGAACAGGGACUGCAUACUGUAACUCAUAUUGCUAAUCUUAUUCAUGCUACUGUCAACCUUCAGGGUAAUGAAUUAAUGUUGUCCAAACAAGAUCUUGCAGAAGCUGGUUGCAGCCCA